UUAGUACUUGUUGGGUUGGCAGCAGACUGUAUACAGUGAAACUGCGAAUGGCUCAUUAAAUCAGUUAUCGUUUAUUUGAUAGUACUUUACUACUUGGAUAACCGUGGUAAUUCUAGAGCUAAUACAUGCUAAAAAUCCCGACCUCCGGAAGGGAUGUAUUUAUUAGAUAAAAAACCAAUGCCUUCGGGCUCCUUGGUGAUUCAUGAUAACUUAACGAAUCGCAUGGCCUUGCGCCGGCGAUGGUUCAUUCAAAUUUCUGCCCUAUCAACUUUCGAUGGUAGGAUAGUGGCCUACCAUGGUUUCAACGGGUAACGGGGAAUUAGGGUUCGAUUCCGGAGAGGGAGCCUGAGAAACGGCUACCACAUCCAAGGAAGGCAGCAGGCGCGCAAAUUACCCAAUCCCAAUUCGGGGAGGUAGUGACAAUAAAUACUGAUACAGGGCUCUUUUGGGUCUUGUAAUUGGAAUGAGUACAAUUUAAAUCCCUUAACGAGGAACAAUUGGAGGGCAAGUCGGGCCC
rnacentral:rRNA from 1 species